rnacentral:rRNA from 1 species
CCUACGGGUGGCAGCAGUGGGGAAUAUUGCACAAUGGGGGAAACCCUGAUGCAGCGACGCCGCGUGCGCGAUGAAGUAUUUCGGUAUGUAAAGCUCUAUCAGAAGCGAAGAAAAUGACGGUACCUGACUAAGAAGCCCCGGCUAACUACGUGCCAGCAGCCGCGGUAAUACGUAGGGGGCAAGCAUUAUCCGGAUUUACUGGGUGUAAAGGGUGCGUAGAGGCCUGUGCAAGCUAGAUGUGAAAGCCCGGGGGUAAACACCCGGACUGUAUUUGGAACUGUGUGGCUGGAGUGACGGAGAGGCAGGCGGAAUUCCUAGUGUAGGAGUGAAAUGCGUAGAUAUUAGGAGGAACACCAGUGGCGAAGGCGGGUUGCUGGACGAUGACUGACGUUGAGGCUCGAAAGCGUGGGGAGCAAACAGGAUUAGAUACCCUUGUAGUC